UGGCUUAUGGUGUAGUUGGUAACACACGAGAUUUUGAUUCUCGAAUCCAGGGUUCGAACCCUUGUAGGCCAGCCA
rnacentral:tRNA from 1 species